rnacentral:rRNA from 1 species
UACGUAGGGGGCUAGCGUUGUCCGGAAUCAUUGGGCGUAAAGAGCGUGUAGGCGGCCCGGUAAGUCCGCUGUAAAAGUCAAAGGCUCAACCUUUGAAUGUCAGUGGAUACUGCCGGGCUAGAGUCCGGAAGAGGCGAGUGGAACUCCUGGUGUAGCGGUGGAAUGCGCAGAUAUCAGGAAGAACACCAACGGCGAAGGCAGCUCGCUGGGAUGGUACUGACGCUGAGACGCGAAAGCGUGGGGAGCAAACGGG